GACGAACGCUGGCGGCGUGCCUAAUACAUGCAAGUAGAACGCUGAAGGAGGAGCUUGCUUCUCUGGAUGAGUUGCGAACGGGUGAGUAACGCGUAGGUAACCUGCCUGGUAGCGGGGGAUAACUAUUGGAAACGAUAGCUAAUACCGCAUAAGAGUAGAUGUUGCAUGACAUCUGCUUAAAAGGUGCAAUUGCAUCACUACCAGAUGGACCUGCGUUGUAUUAGCUAGUUGGUGGGGUAACGGCUCACCAAGGCGACGAUACAUAGCCGACCUGAGAGGGUGAUCGGCCACACUGGGACUGAGACACGGCCCAGACUCCUACGGGAGGCAGCAGUAGGGAAUCUUCGGCAAUGGACGGAAGUCUGACCGAGCAACGCCGCGUGAGUGAAGAAGGUUUUCGGAUCGUAAAGCUCUGUUGUAAGAGAAGAACGAGUGUGAGAGUGGAAAGUUCACACUGUGACGGUAUCUUACCAGAAAGAGACGGCUAACUACGUG
rnacentral:rRNA from 1 species